GUGUGUGUGUGUGUGUGUGUGUGUGUGUGUAUGCGCGCGCAAGCGCGCGCGUGCCUGCAUGCGUGCAUUCGAGCGCAC
ensembl:miRNA